rnacentral:lncRNA from 1 species
GGUCGUUUCAGCCUGCAAGUGUGAACGUAGCCAUACAUUCGAGUCAAGUUUACUAUAUUUAAUGUGCUCGAUGUAUGCGUGUUCAUCAAUGUUAAUAUGAAAAGCCUCAAUUAAAUGUCUUCAUCAUAUAAUGCUAUCAAGUCUCUUUAGAAGGAAAAAGGAAUAAGGAUGGAAUUCUUUUAUGUAGUCUUUAUGAACUUUUUAAUUUAAAGCAUCAAAGUUUUGUUUGCACUGAUUUUCAAUGCAGAGACAAAUCUCUCAGGUUUCAUUAUAAUACCUAGAUUUGUGUUUCUAAGAUGAACAAACAUCGUCAUGAGGGUUACUAAAUCCUUAAAUUAUAAUUUUGGCAAAAUUGUAAAAAAGGUCUGACUUCACAAUGAUCUUAGUGCAGUGUAACUUCAUUAUGUUCCCUGAGAGAGACUGAUAUGAUUAAUACAGACCAAAGCAAAGUCGUUUAGUUUAUCGCACAUCGAUACUAACCCACUUACUCUUUUAUAGACUGCACACAUACACACACAGACCUCAGCGACCUCUGUUAUGUAGAAAUCAUAUAACAGCUCUCAUAUAUUUAGCUUGGGACGACCUGGUUUUAAGCUAAUACGCAUUGCCUAAGGUAUAUCAGUUUCUAUUUUCAAUAUGUUUAUGCUCAAUAUGAUCAGACUAUGGUGCACUUUAAUGAUUUUGUCUACUGAUUGAUUGUGUUCUGGCAAGUUGGUCAUUUUUCAUGAGUGGUUUAAUCAGAGUUGUGAGAAUAUUGAACUAAAUGUUGAUUUUAAAUAUAAUGGUGCUUGUGUGUUUCUCAGGUGACUAACAUGUCAGAGGAGCUGGCUAUAUUAGAGAGCUGUCUGAAGGAGGCGGAGUCAGUGGGUGAUGGACAGCAGGGAGUGGGCGAGUUUGAAGUAGACGCAGUCAAGCACCGAGACAGCCAUCCACUCCACUCAUCGAGAGCCUUAGAGCACGGGACUUCAGCACAGCCAUCGCUCAAGUUAAAGCCUUCAGGUGCCUGUGGCCUAAUGAUAUAUUUGGCAAUGAGAGGGAUGAUGCAGUGCAGACGCUGCUGCACAUUUACUUCAGACACCAGACUCUGGGUCAGACGGGUUGUUUGGCCGUGGUGGGCCCCAGCAGGGAUCUUUCUCAGGCCAGUGCACGCCUCAUGGAGCUCAACCUUCAGAUCCGCGAAGCUCUCUGCCAGGCUGCCACACACCCGCACACCCACCAGACGCACAUCCUGUCCCCGACCCCCACGGCCCACAUCCAGACGCAAAUCGACACGCAAAACACAGUCCUCAGCACUGAACUGUGAGAACUUCACAAACUCGACUCUCUUCCUCUGGGGCGGUGGGUUUGGAGAUUUUUCAUGUAGACUUCACCUCAAAGGGCUAAAGAAUGUGUGGAUAUUAGUUACUCAAAACUAUUAUGCACGUACCAUGUUUUUCCUUCCCCCUUUCCCCAGUAGUUUAACUUCUCCAGGUGUCAGAAAAAAGUACGAAGAACAAGACUGGUCAAGAACCAUCAGGAGGGACACUGGGCGAUAA